ACACCGUUGGUGAAGUGGUUAUCAUGCUUGCCUUCCAUGAUUUGCAGAUUAUGAAGCAAGCGGCUCGGGUUCGAUUCCCGAACGGUGUA